ensembl:ncRNA T27E9.11 ncRNA
GAUGUACUAGAAGAUUUGUUAUUUUUGUUAUUUCUAUUAACCUGUAUUUUUUGGUUUAGUCAGUUUCCUAGAUAAUUUUCGAGUUUCUAUGAACACAAUCUGUACUCUCCUAUAAAUUAUUACUUGUUUUUAGAUCUCAUGGCUUUUGAAGCGGUUUCUGCUGAGACUGUUGUGUUCACUCUGAGAAUGGGGCUAUCGACCAUCGUUGGGGAAA